rnacentral:rRNA from 1 species
UGGGGAAUUUUCCGCAAUGGGCGAAAGCCUGACGGAGCAACGCCGCGUGAGGGAUGAAGGCCUCUGGGCUGUAAACCUCUUUUCUCAAGGAAGAAGAACUGACGGUACUUGAGGAAUAAGCCACGGCUAAUUCCGUGCCAGCAGCCGCGGUAAUACGGGAGUGGCAAGCGUUAUCCGGAAUUAUUGGGCGUAAAGCGUCCGCAGGCGGCCCUGUAAGUCUGUCGUUAAAGCGUGGAGCUUAACUCCAUUUAAGCGAUGGAAACUACAGGGCUUGAGUGUGGUAGGGGCAGAGGGAAUUCCCGGUGUAGCGGUGAAAUGCGUAGAUAUCGGGAAGAACACCAGUGGCGAAGGCGCUCUGCUGGGCCAUAACUGACGCUCAUGGACGAAAGCCAAGGGAGCGAAAGGGAUUAGAUACCCCUGUAGUCCUGGCCGUAAACGAUGAACGCUAGGUGUCGGGGGAAUCGACCCCCUCGGUGUCGUAGCCAACGCGUUAAGUGUUCCGCCUGGGGAGUACGCACGCAAGUGUGAAACUCAAAGGAAUUGACGGGGGCCCGCACAAGCGGUGGAGUAUGUGGUUUAAUUCGAUGCAACGCGAAGAACCUUACCAGGGUUUGACAUCCUGCGAACCUCCUGGAAACGGGAGGGUGCCUUCGGGAGCGCAGUGACAGGUGGUGCAUGGCUGUCGUCAGCUCGUGUCGUG